rnacentral:snRNA from 1 species
AGGCAAUGCCCCCUUAAGAAAAAAAGAAGAUGAUGAUUAGCAUGACCCCUGUGCAAGGAUGACAUACAAAUUCGUGAAGUGUUACAUAUUUUA